rnacentral:lncRNA from 1 species
AAGAGGGAUCCUCAGGCAGUUCGCUGACUUUGACUGAGAGGAGUCUUUGAUGGCGGGACCUUCUGCUAACAUGGGCGGUCGUCUUCUGAACAUUGUUGUCUUCCUCACACUGUUUGGGAACCUCUGUUUUGGUGAGUUACUUUCAGAUCUUUCUUGUUCAUUGGUUCCAAUUUCAGGAUUUGAAAAAAGGUGUAUGACUUCAUUUUUGACUAACAAUUUGCACUUCACUACCCUGUGGCUUACAUAAGUAUGCACCCCUUUCCGAAAAUGUUAUUAAAACAGAUGUUGUGUACACAUUGUUUAGAAGGUAAUAAGUGUCCUGUUUUGAUUUUCAGGUUUAUUUUGCUACCUCUGCUACCUUCAUGCAGACCCUUGCAGUUGUCUGCAAUACGUUUCGUGGCUACAUUUGUUUGGCUGAUGUUAGGAGGUGAUGCUCUUGCCCAAUUUGAAUUCCAACAAUGCUCUUUUAAUGCAAUUAAAUUCUGUUUUAUUACCUGCCAAGUUUGGUACCAGUGUGUACCGUAGAGGGUGCUAGCACAGUCAGGAUAAAGAACUUCGCUCAGAGAUGUAGGGAUCUGAGAUUCAAAUCGAUAACUACUAUCAAGAGUCCUGCCUUAACCAUCUCUGCCUUGUCUCAGUGGUUCUCUAAUCCAGUAACAAUAUAACAGAAUUUGAUCUAUUUCACCUUCAUGUAUAAUUUAUUGUAAUAGUCCUCCUAAUGUGGUCUAUUUUCCUUGCAGGUUUCGAAGUUUGUUCCGGGAGACCUGCGGCAUUAGAGUUUAAUGUAUCUGGCCCUGUGGAGGGACUUAUCAGUAUUUACCAUGACACUGAAAAGUUACCGGUGUAUUCUAACAAAUCUGUGCCCCAGGAAUGCCCUGCAAAAAUGCUGGAAAGCAAAUUGUUGUGCUGGUCUUCGUUUGGCAGGACCUUGCUUUUUUACAGAUCGAAUGUCUCGGAGGGCGACCGAGGCCGAUAUGAUCUGGAAUAUGACACCCUGCACAGGAGAGGACAGAGUUCCACCAAUAAACUGACUGUGCUGAAAAAUUGUACCUCACAAAGGACCACCACUCUUCCGGCUACAACUUACCCCCAUCUACCUCCCCAAGGAAAUGAAUAUGGUGUGGUGGCAGUAGCUGUUAUACUCGGUGUAUGUGCUAUAUUUGGAAUCUCUGCAUUCGUGUAA